AGAGUUUGAUCCUGGCUCAGGAUGAACGCUAGCGGCAGGCCUAAUACAUGCAAGUCGAACGGAUCUGAGGACUUCGGUUCUCAGGUUAGUGGCGCACGGGUGCGUAACGCGUAUGCAACCUACCUUUUACUGGGGGAUAGCCCGGAGAAAUCCGGAUUAAUACCGCAUAACACUAUUUGAGGGCAUCCGAAGAUAGUUAAAGAUUUAUUGGUAAAAGAUGGGCAUGCGUGCCAUUAGCUAGUUGGUGGUGUAACGGACCACCAAGGCGACGAUGGCUAGGGGUUCUGAGAGGAUGAUCCCCCACACUGGUACUGAGAUACGGACCAGACUCCUACGGGAGGCAGCAGUAGGGAAUAUUGGGCAAUGGACGCAAGUCUGACCCAGCCAUGCCGCGUGCAGGAUGAAGGCCUUCUGGGUUGUAAACUGCUUUUAUCUAGGAAGAAAAAACCCUUGCGAGGGGAACUGACGGUACUAGGUGAAUAAGCACCGGCUAACUCCGUGCCAGCAGCCGCGGUAAUACGGAGGGUGCAAGCGUUGUCCGGAUUUAUUGGGUUUAAAGGGUGCGUAGGCGGCCCGUUAAGUCCGUGGUGAAAGCCAACAGCUCAACUGUUGAACUGCCAUGGAUACUGACGGGCUUGAGUACAGACGAGGUAGGCGGAAUGGAUGGUGUAGCGGUGAAAUGCAUAGAUACCAUCCAGAACACCGAUUGCGUAGGCAGCUUACUAGGCUGUAACUGACGCUGAGGCACGAAAGCGUGGGGAGCGAACAGGAUUAGAUACCCUAGUAGUCC
rnacentral:rRNA from 1 species